GGGGAUAACAGGCUGAUCGCCUCCGAGCGUCCAUAGCGGCGAGGCGGUUUGGCACCUCGAUGUCGGCCCAUCGCAUCCUGGGGCUGAAGGCGGUCCCAAGGGUUUGGCUGUUCGCCAAUUAAAGCGGUACGCGAGCUGGGUUCAGACCGGCGUGAGCCAGGUCGGUCCCUAUCUGCCGUGGGCGUAGGAAUCUUGAGGGGAUUCUUCCUUAGUACGAGAGGACUGGGAAGAACUGACCUCUGGUGUACCAGUUGUCGCGCUAGCGGCACGGCUGGAUAGCUAUGUCGGGAAAGGAUAACCGCUGAAAGCAUCUAAGCGGGAAGCCCACCCCAAGAUGAGGAUUCCAUGUCCCGAUUCGUCGGGACGAGAGCCCCCUGGAAGACGACCAGGUUGAUAGGCCGGAAGUGUAAGGCGCGAAAACGCCUCAGCUAACCGGUACUAACGGGCGAUUGCUUGAUCAC
rnacentral:ncRNA from 1 species